rnacentral:miRNA from 1 species
AAUUUCUUCAAACCGAAGGUCU